AGUCGGACGGACUGUCGCCGCGUUCUCCCCGCCCGUCGGGUGGGAACGGAGAGGAAAGUCCGGGCUUCGCAGGGCAGGACGCUGGGUAACGCCCAGGAGGGGUGAUCCUCGGAAAGCGCCACAGAAAACAGACCGCCGCCUUUGGGCGGUAAGGGUGAAACGGUGGGGUAAGAGCCCACCAGCCGGCACGGUGACGUGCCGGGCUUGGCAAGCCCCGUUCGAAGCAAGACCAAAUAGGGAAGCGGAUUGGCCCGAUCAACGCUUCCGGGUAGGUUGCUUGAGGGCGCAGGCAACUGCGCUCCUAGAGGAAUGACAGUCGCUUUUCCGUCUUCGUCAGGAGAUGGAAAGGUACAGAACCCGGCUUAUAGUCUGACUC
rnacentral:RNase_P_RNA from 1 species